UAUAACAGAUUGUUGAACUUCGUCUGUUACAGAAAGUAGCAAGCAUGUUUGCUGCAAGCAGUCAUGUUGUCGCUACUUGGAGUCCCCCAUCAUCGUUGAACCCCAUGCUUCAUUUGCCGGCAAAUGCAACUAGUCUGCAGUGGAUAGUUCUUCCGGUCUGGUUACCUGGACACUGGAACCUUUGUGUAAGAACAUUCAGUUUUGCCAUCACUUUUGUUUUGUGCCCAUAAGACUAGGUUUAAUUUAAGUUAAUUUAUGAUCAUGUCCUUCACAAGAAGUGAAAUGUAUCAUAGCUUUGUUUUAUUAAUCACUGAAUCACUUGAAAAUCCAACAACUUUGAUGACAUAGCUUUGAAGGUUGUACGUUUAUGUGUCUGUUUAUAUCUGUACACAUAACAUUGACAGAUCCUCAAGCCCCAAGCUAGGGAGAUUUUCUUCCUAGAUCCCCUCUGUGGCACUGGGUGGAGAGAUCAAAGUCGCACCAUACCAUUCAGGUUUUUUAGAUCGCCAAUUUUACAAUUCUGGAUAGUGGUAGUUCAGUUCAGACCACUUAUCGAUUUUUUAUUUUUAAAUUGUGGCUCUGUUUUACAUAAACUAAAAUUUUAGAUACUGUACAUAAUUUCCAAUUGGAUGCGUGAAACAGAGGCAUAGUUGCAACUUAUCAGUGGGGCUGUUCUGACCCCAUUAGGCCAUUUUUUUUUUUUUUUUUUAUUACAGCCUGUUGGCUUAUCCUGUUACAACUGUGUUCUAAGCUUUUAUGCAUGUUUAGGAGGGUUAAGAAUAGCAGAAGUAUUGUACUGUUAAAUUGACUUUCCUAUAUACUGUGUUCACAGAAACUUAGCUCAGAUCUUAGCCCCUGGGCCUUGGAAGACUCUUACUGUGGAUGAUCUUCAGGGUGCACCCAGGCAAGGUUUUUCCAACAACUGUGGGGUGUUUGUGUUGAUGGUAAGGAAAUGGCUAUUCAGUAUAUUAUGAAUAUGUCAUA